UGUUCAGGGUCAGUGUGAGGUUUCUUCCUGUCUCCGUCACUUCUUUUCAGCCAAAAAGUAAAAUGUUUAUGCUGUUUGUAUGUUCUCUUUUAUGUCUGAUGAAGUCAGGAGCUCUUAUCCCCCAGAACAUAUUACAAGGACUUUUAUUAUAAACCUAUAUAGUUAGUAAAUAGACGUUAGGAGGACUGGUGGUGGAGUACUAAGGACCUAUCGGUGGAAGAAUCAUCUCCAACAUGGAUAAUAAGGACUUUUGAUUAGUGACCCAGGAAGGUGGUAGGUCCAUGUGUUGUCUACUGCCCUCUAAAGUAGUAAGUCAGCUCUUAUAAUGUUUUUUUACCAGCAUUUUUUGGUGUCUUAGCUUCAGUCUAUUUCUGAGCACCGGAUUAUUACUUUACAUAUCUCAAUAUGUAGGCCAUCAGUAGUCCUUUAUCAUUCCUGUUCAGUGGUACUACUACUAAUACAGUCUCAUCUGGUGAAGUAGAUCUGCUAAACCAGUAGGUCAUCAGAGUGUGCCGGGUUGCCGUAGUAACACAGUGCGCAGGAGGGGAGAGAGAGCAGGCUGGAGGAGGGACGUGAGGGGGUGCAUGUGGCUGGAUCUGCCAGAGUUCUCAUUGUUUUGUUCCUCAGGUUCAGGACUGUACAAAUAAAGAUUUCUUUGGAAGACGAUGGAUGAGGACAGAGACCACAUGGCUGCGAGGAUAUUAGACCUCACCCUAGAGAUCAUCUACCUGAUAACUGGAGAGGAUUACACAGUAGUGAAGAAGUCGUCUGGUGAGUUUGUGACACCCCAUAUGUUAGGAGAAUGGAGCAGGACCCCGGGAGUCAUCACUGAGCCUCCACCUCAUUCACUGAUACAUGAGCAGAAGAUCCUAGAACUUACCAACAGGAUCACUGAGCUGCUGACCGGAGAGGUUCCUAUAAGGUGUCAGGAUGUCACUGUCUAUUUCUCCAUGGAGGAGUGGGAGUAUUUAG